rnacentral:rRNA from 1 species
CAGCCGCCGCGGUAAUACGUAGGGUGCAAGCGUUAAUCGGAAUUACUGGGCGUAAAGCGUGCGCAGGCGGUUUGUUAAGACAGAUGUGAAAUCCCCGGGCUCAACCUGGGAACUGCAUUUGUGACUGGCAAGCUAGAGUGUGGCAGAGGGGGGUGGAAUUCCGCGUGUAGCAGUGAAAUGCGUAGAUAUGCGGAGGAACACCGAUGGCGGAGGCAGCCCCCUGGGCCAACACUGACGCUCAUGCACGAAAGCGUGGGGAGCAAACAGGAUUAGAUACCCGAGUAGUCCCUGUCUCUUAUAU